CCUGCCCAAGAGAUCGGGAUAACACCUGGAAACAGAUGCUAAUACCGGAUAACAACAGAUGAUGUCUAUCAACUGUUUAAAAGAUGGUUCUGCUAUCACUCUUGGAUGGACCUGCGGUGCAUUAGCUAGUUGGUAGGGUAACGGCCUACCAAGGCGAUGAUGCAUAGCCGAGUUGAGAGACUGAUCGGCCACAUUGGGACUGAGACACGGCCCAAACUCCUACGGGAGGCAGCAGCG
rnacentral:rRNA from 1 species